UACGGAGGGUGCAAGCGUUAUCCGGAUUCACUGGGUUUAAAGGGUGCGUAGGCGGGUAUGUAAGUCAGUGGUGAAAUCCUCGAGCUUAACUCGAGAACUGCCAUUGAUACUAUGUAUCUUGAAUGUCAUGGAGGUGAGCGGAAUAUGUCAUGUAGCGGUGAAAUGCUUAGAUAUGACAUAGAACACCGAUUGCGAAGGCAGCUCACUACACGAAUAUUGACGCUGAGGCACGAAAGCGUGGGAUCAAACAGG
rnacentral:rRNA from 1 species